GAAGUCUGUGAAAGAUGAUAACAAGGGUUGAAUCUAUCAGCACUUGUGUCUAAAAAUGCUGAUGUGUGACGGUUUACUGAAAAGGGUAAAUGCUAGCCAGUACUUACACUUGAGCAACCGUGGGAUGUCGAACUAACUGAUGAUGUACUAUGAUGGUGAACACUUACUAUGUGUAUCAAAAUGCUUUUGUUGAUAUUUACUAUAGAUGAUUUGAUAUUGGUUAACAUUUGUUUGCAUGCUGUUAACAUUUCUAUUUCAUUUCAGGGAGCUGUGGUAAGUAUUGUAGUAUUAAUUUGUCUCAAUAAACGAUGAUGAAUGAAAACUGAUGUCGAUUCUUUUUGUACAGUUUUAGGUAUUAGCACUCUAUACAAAACUCUGUCGGUCGGUGUUUGUGAAUGUGAGCUUAAUGUUUGAGUAGAACAAAAAUGUCUUUACUUUUGUGAUCGCCAGUUGUCUGUGAUGUAAAGUGGAAAAAACACAGCUAUGAAGCAUACAAUUGUUUCAAUAUUUUAUCAAUGAUAGUGUGCUAUGCAUGUUUUGAUUUAGUUCGUUUCAGAUACGACAUGACAUGAAGAGUUGACAGUCGAACAGAGCUGAGCAAAGCAGAAAGGUAAGUGUGUUUCAUUUUAGUAUGAACACUUGUAUUUUGUUUUUAUAUGGUAUGUUUUGUGCAUGCUAUGUUUCAGGUGUACUUGUAGUCAGCGACGAAGACGAUUCAAGAAGAGGAACAUUGCUGAGAAAGUGAAUGGGACUUGCAAACAGGGUAAGUGUUACAAUUGUUUGUUUGAUUUUUACCAUGCAUACUUUGCUUUGCUCUGUUUCAGAUUUCACAUGCAGAAAUGGUCUCAUAGCAGUGCCAACAGUGAAUAAGGAUUUCAUCUGCUGUGAAACAACUCAACAGAAAGUAGGUAAGCAUUGAAUGAAUGCACUUGAGUUGUACAAUUUGAUGUGAUGCUUUUUUCUGUUUCAGAUUCAAGUUUCUGGUGUAGACAGAAAAAUGUGUUUGAAGAAGGAAUUCUACUACUGUGAUUCAACUCUACAGAAGCAAGGUAAGUAGAAACAAAAUUUUGGUUUAAUUUAACUCAUGUGUUUUGCACUGCAUGCUAUUUUUCAGGUCUCUCAUGCAGUGAGGGAAAAGAAGAAGAUUUCAAAAAAAAAUCACUGCUGCAACUCAGGCCUAUAACAUGGUAAGCGUUUACUAUAUUGUAUACAAAAUAUUUUUCUGUUUUACUCUGUUUCAGGUUUCAAUUGUAGAGAUGUUGCAGAGAUGUUUUGACAGCUUGUGACAGAAAAGAAAUUCAGCAGCUGUGUAUCGACUGUAGCCACGAGGUAAGUCGAAACAAAUAUACUGGUUUGUAUGUUAUGUUGUUAUGCCCUUCUAUGUUUCAGACUUACAUUGCUGUGACUGUUCCACAGUGGGUCAAAAAAGAGACGAAUACAGGUUUCAAGAAGAAAAUUGGCUGUUGAAAACCUGCACAAAAUAUGAGGUAAGUAAACUAUUCUUUUGGUUUGUUUUGUGCUUUGUUAUGCUUAACUAUUUUUCAGAUUGGAAUGGUGGGUCGUUACAGAGCAGACUUUUGGACAACUGAGAAGUUGAGAAACAGAAAAUGAUUCAAGAUCAGCUACGUAAGUCUUGAUUAUUAUGCAUUGCUAAAUGUUUUUUUCAUUUCAGUAUCCUGUGGUAAGUACACUAACUUUCUAUAAUUUCAUAUUGAAAUGUUUUGAUGACUUGUAUACUACUAUGCAAUGCUUAAUGUUUUUUUUCAUUUCAGUAGCCUAUUGGUAAGUACACUAACUUUCUAUAAUUUCAUAGUGAACUGUUUUGAUGACCUGUAUUCUGCAUUGUAAAAUGUGUUUCUUUUUCAUUUCAGUAUGGCUGUGGUAAGUACACUAACUUUCUAUAAUUUCAUAUUGAACUGUUUUGAUGACUUGUAUUCUGCAUUGUAAAAUGUCUGUUUUUCAUUUCAGUAUCCUGUGGUAAGUACACAAACUUUCUAUAAUUUCAUAUUGAAAUGUUUUGAUGACUUGUAUACUGCUAUGCAAUGCUAAAUGUUUUUGUCAUUUCAGUAUAGCUGUGGUAAGUACACUAACUUUCUUUAAUUUUUAUAUUGAACUGUUUUGAUGACCUGUAUUCUGCAUUGUAAAAUGUGUUUCUUUUUCAUUUCAGUUGCCUGUUGGUAAGUACAAUUGCCUUCUUUAAUUGCAUAUUGAAAUAUGUUUUAUGACUUUUAUUCUGCUAUGCUUUUUUCAUUUCAGUUUGGCAGAUGUAAGUACACUUCAUUUAUGUAAAAACUGAAUAUGAUUGUUGUGCUAUACAAAAUGUGCUUUUUUCAAUUUCAGGUCAGCAAUGGUAAGUAUAGUGUGUUUCUUUAUGUAUAAUUUUGUAUACAUAUUGUUUUUUUCAUCAUAGCAUGUCUUUUAUAUUUAUGCUUUGUGUAAGUAAAAUGUUCAUAAAUCAUUCUUAUCUUCAAACUAAAAAUGUAUUGUGCUAUGCAAAAUGUCUGUAUGAUUUCAGUUGCCAGAGGUGAGUACCAUUACAGUUGAAAAGUUAGUUUUGUUUAGUUAAAGUUUUGGUUCACAGUUCUGUUUGUUAUUUGGCAAAAUUUACAUGUAUGCAUUGAGUCUUGAUUUCAGCUAGAUUGUGGACUGAAGAAGAUUGCCAGCAGAGGGAUUGGAUACAAGAUACAAAGUAAGUACUGAGUUUCUUACUAAAAGUUUUGAGUUGUAUUCAUCGUGUGUUAAUAUGCUAUGAUUGCUAUGAACAUGACUUUUGUAUUUCAGCGAAGACAACAUAGGUAAGUAAAAUUGUUAUCUGUUUCAUGUUUACUGUUACAGUUCAAUAUUGUGUUUAUAAAUUGUAAGUUGUACAAACACAUUCAAAAGUUUCUGAUCAUGCUUUCGAUUUCAUUUCAGCUUUACUGCUGGACGAGUGUUCUCUACUACUAGACGUGUCAGGUUUACUACCAGGCGAGCAGUGACAACAAGGCGCCUUUGUGGAAACAACACAACAAAAAACUCUACUGCAAGACGAGCAGUGACAGCAAGGCGCCUGAACAUGCAACACAAUACAAAAAAUGCCAAUUUGCAAACCUUGAUGUGGACACCGAGUAGUCAAUACAUACGUGUGGGGUACAGCUGCGACAAAACCGUGGGUCCAUCGCACCGAUAACUUGAACAUUGGCCCGUGUAUGGACAUCAGUGCAACUUUGUGAAUCCAUGUAUCUUUGUGAAUCCAUGUAACAUUGCGAAUGUGUGUCGAUCGAAAAAUGUGUACAUUCUGAACUGAAACGAACUCGGUGUUGCAAGUGGCAAGUGUUGACAGUGUGUAUGUUUAUGUUUAUGUUUUUACAUGAAAACUAAAGGAGAUUGUUCUCCUACCUUUUUUUUCCUUGUUUUAUUGCGCUGGCCAGCAAUAUUGAUGUAUUGAUGUAUGUGUUUGUGUUUAAACUAUGCAAUACCAAAAUCAAACAAAAAAUAAACAUUAACAGUCAUUAACUGUG